UCGGUUAGACGAUCCUCUUUCAGCCACGUAAGACGUAAGCUUGUUUCAUUUUUGGCCUUUUGGGUUUCCCUUCACCGGUUCGAUUGUUCAGCGAGUUCAGGAAUCCCUGAAGAAACUGAAAGCUGGUGAAAGUGAAAAAGCUGUACAGUACAUACCUUGUAUGGCUUUAUCCUCUCAAAACACCACCCCAAAUAUCAUGGGUUCUAGACAAUCAAUACCUACAUUUCAUGGAUACCAUGAGAAAGUAAAUAAUGAUGAGGUCAUUAUAGAACAACCAUGCAGUUUUCAUUCAAUUCAAACAUACCUAGUACAAGAAAAUCGAGCAAAUGAUUGCAGAUGUAGAGAAGGAUGGUAGUGGUGCUAUUGGUUUUGAUGAAUUUGUCUACAUGAUGAUUGCUAAAAUCGGAGAAAAGAUACCAAGGAAGAGAUAAUCAAACCUUUUCAUAUUAUUGACCAAGAUAAUAAUGUGAAGCACUCUAUAUCUCUAAAAUGACCUGAUUCUUUCUUGUCCCUUGCUAACUUUUACUGAUCCAGAUGCAGGAAAAAAUAUCUGUUAUGGACAUCAAACAUAUUGCAAAGGCUGAAUUUGAACUUCAAUGAUAAAGAGAUUCAAGAGAUGGUAGAGGAAGCAGACCAUGAUUGUAAGUUACCUCAUCAGCAUUUAAUUUAUUGUUUUGUUGCCUUCUACGACAUGGACUUUGACCAAACUUUGCAUGCAUUGAUGGAAGAGUAUAGAUCUUUGCUAUUA